AGAGUACCAACAUGUUACAAAUGAGAAUUUUCCCCACAAAUUCUUUGGACAACCGCACCACCACCUAUUUCAUUUUAUGACAAUUUUAAGGCAAACAGCAUCCAAAACUGACAAGACAGCAAAUACCCUGGCUAAUCUUUUGAAGGUUUAUGAUGAGCAGGAACUGCAUGAUGUCAGUUCAUGAUGGACUACUGUUAUCAGAGGUCUUUUGGUCUUGCUGCGUGAGCGUGACUGGGGAUUCUUUAGGACCACCCUGAUUAAUAAUCCUGAAGCGCUGACUGAAGAUGCUUUAUUGGCCCUGCAGUCACUGAGGGUCUCUGCUGUCCGGAAGAAUGAAUUGGAC